GCUAUAAUUGUCAGCUAAGUGGCGCACGGGUGAGUAAUGUAUAGAUAACCUGCCCUUAAGAAAGGAAUAACAGUUGGAAACGACUGCUAAUGCCCUAUAUGCCUUUAAUACAUAAGUAUGCAAGGGAAACGCUUUAGUGCUUAAGGAUGGGUCUGUAUGGUAUCAGCUUGUUGGUGAGGUAAUGGCUCACCAAGGCUAUGACGCCUAACUGGUUUGAGAGGAUGAUCAGUCACACUGGAACUGAGACACGGUCCAGACUCCUACGGGAGGCAGCAGUGGGGAAUAUUGCACAAUGGACGAAAGUCUGAUGCAGCAACGCCGCGUGGAGGAUGACACAUUUCGGUGCGUAAACUCCUUUUAUAUAGGAAGAUAAUGACGGUACUAUAUGAAUAAGCACCGGCUAACUCCGUGCCAGCAGCCGCGGUAAUACGGAGGGUGCAAGCGUUACUCGGAAUCACUGGGCGUAAAGAGCGUGUAGGCGGGUAUAUAAGUCAGAAGUGAAAUCCAAUAGCUCAACUAUUGAACUGCUUUUGAAACUGUAUACCUAGAAUGUGGGAGAGGUAGAUGGAAUUUCUGGUGUAGGGGUAAAAUCCGUAGAGAUCAGAAGGAAUACCGAUUGCGAAGGCGAUCUACUGGAACAUUAUUGACGCUGAGACGCGAAAGCGUGGGGAGCAAACAGGAUUAGAUACCCUGGUAGUCCACGCCCUAAACGAUGUACACUAGUUGUUGUGAGGCUCGACCUUGCAGUAAUGCAGUUAACACAUUAAGUGUACCGCCUGGGGAGUACGGUCGCAAGAUUA
rnacentral:rRNA from 1 species